UACAGAGGGUGCAAGCGUUAAUCGGAUUUACUGGGCGUAAAGCGUGCGUAGGUGGUCUGUUAAGUCAGGCGUGAAAUCCCCGGGCUCAACCUGGGAACUGCGUCUGAUACUGGCAGACUCGAGUGUGGUAGAGGGUAGUGGAAUUCCGCAUGUAGCGGUGAAAUGCGUAGAGAUGCGGAGGAACAUCAGUGGCGAAGGCGGCUACCUGGACCAACACUGACACUGAGGCACGAAAGCGUGGGUAGCAAUCAGG
rnacentral:rRNA from 1 species